GGUGCACUCGAUCGUCUUCAGGCCAGCAUCGGUUUCGGUGGCGGGAUAAAGGCUCUAGGAAUGUGGCUCUUCGGAGUGUUAUAGCCUAGGGUGCAAUGCCGCCUACCGGGACCGAGGACCGCGCUUCGGCUAGGAUGCUGGCGUAAUGGUUGUAAGCGGCCCGUCUUGAAACACGGACCAAGGAGUCUAACAUCUAUGCGAGUGUUUGGGUGUCAAACCCAUACGCGUAAUGAAAGUGAACGGAGGUGAGAGCCCUUUAGGGCGCAUCAUCGACCGAUCCUGAUGUCUUCGGAUGGAUUUGAGUAAGAGCAUAGCUGUUGGGACCCGAAAGAUGGUGAACUAUGCGUGAAUAGGGUGAAGCCAGAGGAAACUCUGGUGGAGGCUCGCAGCGGUUCUGACGUGCAAAUCGAUCGUCAAAUUUGCGUAUAGGGGCGAAAGACUAAUCG
rnacentral:rRNA from 1 species